rnacentral:rRNA from 1 species
UAAGCAUAUCAAUAAGCGGAGGAAAAGAAACCAACAGGGAUUGCCUUAGUAGCGGCGAGUGAAGCGGCAAGAGCUCAAAUUUGAAAUCUGGUACUUUCAGUAUCCGAGUUGUAAUUUGAAGAAAGUUAUCUUGGAGUUGGCCCUUGUCUAUGUUCCUUGGAACAGGACGUCACAGAGGGUGAGAAUCCCGUGCGAUGGGGUGCCCAUUCUAUGUAAGAUACUUUCGACGAGUCGAGUUGUUUGGGAAUGCAGCUCUAAGUGGGUGGUAAAUUCCAUCUAAAGCUAAAUAUUGGCGAGAGACCGAUAGCGAACAAGUACAGUGAUGGAAAGAUGAAAAGAACUUUGAAAAGAGAGUGAAAAAGUACGUGAAAUUGUUGAAAGGGAAGGGUAUUUGAUCAGACUGAUAUUCAGUUAACACUGUUCCUUGUGGAUGGUGCUCUAGCUUUUUAUUGGGCCAGCAUCAGUUUAGGUGGCAGGAUAAGAACUGUUGAACGUGGCUCUUCGGAGUGUUAUAGCUUCAGUUGAUACUGCCUAUCUAGACUGAGGUCUGCGGCUUUGCCUAGGAUGCUGGCGUAAUGGUCUAAUACCGCCCGUCUUGAAACAUGGACCAAGGAGUCUAACGUCUAUGCGAGUGUUUGGGUGUAAAACCCGUACGCGUAAUGAAAGUGAACGUAGGUGAGGGCCUUAGGGUGCAUCAUCGACCGAUCCUGAUGUUUUCGGAUGGAUUUGAGUAAGAGCAUAGCUGUUGGGACCCGAAAGAUGGUGAACUAUGCCUGAAUAGGGUGAAGCCAGAGGAAACUCUGGUGGAGGCUCGUAGCGGUUCUGACGUGCAAAUCGAUCGUCAAAUUUGGGUAUAGGGGCGAAAGACUAAUCGAACCAUCUAGUAGCUGGUUCCUGCCGAAU